AUGAAAAUCAUACUUUUAGGAAUAUCAUAUUUUUUUAUGAAUAUCAUAUUUUUUAUGAAUAUCAUAUUUUUAUUACUUCCUUUAUUACUUCCUUUACUUCCUGAGCUCAUGAAUAACUUAUUGGGGCCACAAAUCACUCAGUUUGACAUAAGGGGCCUAAUCUCUCUCUCUCUUUUGUACUUGUAACUUGAAACUUGAGUGCAGAGUUUCACACGUAUUUUUUGGCUAUGUCCACACACAAAUCUUUCUUUACGCACACACAAAUUCUUUUUACACAUACAAAUCUUUUUCACGCACAUAAAUUCUUUUUACACAUACAAAUCCUGAUUUACAAGUACAAAAUAUUUAUGACCACAAUUUGAGCCCAUAACCACGGGCAUUUCAGAUUUCACACAGGUGGUUGGUUGGCUGUAACAGUCUUGAAAUGGAAUGAAGGUGAGUGUUAUUAACCCUCUGGGCUCCACGGACACGCCGCACCUCCAAAUCACAUGACUUAUUUAAGCUGACAUAGCAACAAACUAAAUCUCUAUUUCAGCUUGUGUUGAAAGUUCGGACUUCAAAGUAUACACCAGUUUUUACAUUUUAAUGAAAGGGCACUAAAUCCAGAGGUAUGAUAAAAAUAUAUAUAUAUAAGUGAUGCUUUUUUCUAAAUACUAUUGUCACGGUUAAUUUUAAAAAAGCGUUUUCUAAGGACAGCACGAAAAGAGUAAAGAAAGAAAAAAAGCCACUUCUUUCCUAUUGGUGGAAAAAUGUACCAUGUCGACCAAUAAAAAACGGCAAGACCUGGGAUUUGGUUGUUUAGAAAGAGGGGAAAGUUUUGGGAGUAAUGGCAGCAAGACAGAGCCAGCGAGUGAGAGAGAAAGAGAGAGUUUUGAGAUGUGAGAGAUUGGUGACGUUUAGUGUAUAGUUAGUGUGUUGUGUAGUCGUUGUUUUGUUUUGUGUGUCAGUGAGGGCACUAAUGGAUGUCACAAAGGCAAAUUGCAGUGCAAACACUGUCUCCAGAUGGAAAACAGGAGCAGUGAUACACCUGUUGUCAGGCCUACAGGUUUAUCCCUGUGAUGUUCUCCUCUGUCUUGUGGUGGACAUUUUUUUUACUGGCACAAAUCAUUUGUGGGGCAUCUUAUUGUGACACCUGAUUGUUCUCUCAUUUUAGUUAUAGUAGUAUUUUUAGAUGGUUGUACAAAAACAAACAAACAAACAAACAAAACAAACACCAGAUGCAUUGGCUGUAUUUUUAGAUAAAUAGUUGUAUCUAACUUUAAAAAUUUAAAAAUUUACAAUUAAUAUUUGCA
rnacentral:lncRNA from 1 species